AUACCACUUGUUAUUUUUUUUUAUUUUUUUUUAUAAUAUUUUUGGUGGAUUCUUAUCGCUAUGAUUUUUCUUUCGUUUCGACCGCUUUUUUUUUUUCGUAUAAGACCUUCUGUGUAAUUUUUUUCUUAUCCUCCUUCAUCUUUCUAAAUUAAUUUUUUUGAUGAUAACAAAGACGGAGAAGAAAAGGUUAUCUCAAUAUUAUUUUAAAUGUUUCUNAAUAAGCAUUAAAAGAAUCCUUCAAUUAAAGUGAAAGAAACAUUUAAAAUAAUAUUGAGAUAACCUUUUCUUAUCCUCCUUCAUCUUUCUAAAUUAAUUUUUUUGAUGAUAACAAAGACGGAGAAGAAAAGGUUAUCUCAAUAUUAUUUUAAAUGUUUCUUUCACUUUAAUUGAAGGAUUCUUUUAAUGCUUAUUUUGAGGGGAAGUUUAUCUAUUUUUUAUUACCUUUUCAAAUUAUUUGUCAUCAUCAAAAAUGGGGAGAUUGUUAGAUUUUUUCCAAUAAUAAUUUUGAUGAUAACAAACAAAUUUUGGAUUUAAUUUGUUGUUUUAGCAAUUUCAGGCUGUAGUUGAAUUUAAAGUGGCUCAAACCGAAUCGGAAUUGACUAAGUUUUUUACAACAGUGAACUACUAUUUUGAAUUUAACAGAUUUGGACUUAAUUUUUAAUAAAUGGAUCAAAAUCAAUAAUUUUUAAUCGUUGAUGUAUGCUGUUUGCAAGUUUAACGGUGUAAAAGUAUUCAAAUCGGAUAAAAAUUUGAUAGAAAAUUCUUUAUACUAUCUACAACAAGGUCAAUAUCUCUGAUAAAAAAUUUUAGUGUUAUAUCAUCACUUUUUAUGAGAUUUUUAUUUUCAACUGUUAAUUUUGAACCCUUUCGAUCGCUAGGUAAAUGAUAUCGAAAAAUCGCAAAAUUUAUUUUCUAAAUACUUCAAAUAUGCUAGAUCAAGUCUAACGGAGUCGAUCGUCGAUUCGAAAGCUCUAUCAUCGAAAACGGUUUGGGAGUACUGAGGCCUCGUGCUCCUAAUAGCACACAAGACCUACUCAUAAAUUAUAUAUACAUAUGUUGUGGUUUUUAAUGGAGAUGGAGAGAGGAUGGAAUUGUCGCGAAUACGCGACCAAAUUAGGUGAAACAAAAUCGUGAUUUGCAUGGUUUGGCAGUGUCGGAAGCGCUGGCGCAGUCUAUUUGCAAAUCUGACAGACAGAUCUCAUGUAAUCGCGCGAUUACCGAGAAAGGGUCGAAAUAAAAAAAUCAGAGAUUUUGCGAAACCCUCUAUAUUUU
rnacentral:lncRNA from 1 species